rnacentral:sRNA from 7 species
UUUGCGUCUGGAGCCAGCGAGGAUGAGAACCUCCGGGGGCGGGAGGUUCGACCCGAGCGAAGCGAGAGAACGUUGCGCGAGCCACGGCCCGCAGGGCGAGCCAUCCUCUCAUUGCUGACAUAUUCCACUGCUUUUGCCG